rnacentral:rRNA from 1 species
ACUCAAAGGAAUUGACGGGGGCCCGCACAAGCGGCGGAGCAUGCGGAUUAAUUCGAUGCAACGCGAAGAACCUUACCAAGGCUUGACAUGCAUUCGACGCUUCCAGAGAUGGGGGUUCCGUGAGGCGGGUGCACAGGUGGUGCAUGGUUGUCGUCAGCUCGUGUCGUGAGAUGUUGGGUUAAGUCCCGCAACGAGCGCAACCCUUGUUCCAUGUUGCCAGCGGGUGAUGCCGGGGACUCAUGGGAGACUGCCGGGGUCAACUCGGAGGAAGGUGGGGAUGACGUCAAAUCAUCAUGCCCCUUAUGUCUUGGGCUUCACGCAUGCUACAAUGGCCGGUACAAAGGGUUGCGAUCCUGUGAGGGGGAGCGAAUCCCAAAAAGCCGGUCUCAGUUCGGAUUGGGGUCUGCAACUCGACCCCAUGAAGUCGGAGUCGCUAGUAAUCGCAGAUCAGCAACGCUGCGGUGAAUACGUUCUCGGGCCUUGUACACACCGCCCGU